UGUCAUGUAAUUUGAAAUUAAUUUCGUAAUCAUAUUAUCAAAACAUGCAGCUAAUUAACAUUAUCAAAAAGUAUACAAUGGUCGCGACCAACACAUAAACCAACACAUAUCUUCAGCACUAAAAAUUUAGCCUUCCACAAACGGCCUCCAUAACUUACAAGAAUCUUCAAGUGGGAGAUCCACUUUUUGAUCAUCCAAGACACUUUACGAAGCGAUCUGGAGCCGCAGGAGUGUGGCCAAAAAACCGGCCGUACUAUCAUUUUCUCAUAACUUCGUUUAAAAUAAGAUAAUGUGGAUAAAAUUAGAAGCACUCAGGAAACAAGCCGGGACUGUAUAAACAUGUCAUGUGCUGUGCCAACACUCAUGGUCAGAAAUAAAACCGUCGGGAUGAACCACAGAUGUUGACAGGUCACGGUGGAUUCUCUUAUCUUCACAGCUUUAGAGUUAAACAAAAUUCAGCCUGUCCUUGCAAUAAUACAGCUGAAGAGACAUGUCCUCAAUAACAGGAGUACUAAACAAUUUAUAGCCUAGCCUGUCUUGCGGACAACGGACCGGGUACGAGACUAAGUACGGAAAAUGUGUCCACCAUACCAGCCUAGCCUCGUAACUAAGCGCCGUUUAACUAGCGGCCUGAAAGUCAUUCGGCCGUAGCUUUUGUAACACAAUUGAAUAAUCUGGCUAAUGUUUAGGCUUGUUUCAUAAAAAAGAAUAAACAUUUGACACAAAAUAUGUGUUUAAAAAUCUAAUUGCUUGAAUAACGCACAGCUAAAUUCACAUUACUAUUGUCACAACACAUUUCAUUUUAAUUAAACAUUGAGAAACACCAGUUGUGGUUAGCCGACGCCAUAUUGACAGCUUAGAGAGUUUCGUUUCGAGUUAGAGAUUGGCAGAAAGUGGAACUAAAUUUAAAUUAACAGUCAACAGGCUAGGCAAGUAAUGAAACAUCAUAGAUCCAUGUCACUUGCCUAGCUGAUCAACUGCAUAUCAUUAAGGCCGCUAGUUAAACCUCGCUGUUUAGUUAAGAGGCUGGGCUAUUAAUUGAACGGCUUAUUCAAGUAGUUGGCUGCGACUAUUAAUGAACCAAAGCGUUAAUGAAUAUUCCACGUUUCGAGCACAAGACUAGCAGUCGUGAUUUAUGCAGAAAACUCAUACAACGACCAAUAUUUAAGCCUUGACUUGCUUAAGCUAUCGCGGAAUAUGGUUAAAAAGAGGAGGUUAUCUUUAGCGCAAAAUCACCUGCAUCAUAAGCAUACCCCACAUACACACCUUCACGUAAUUAUCCUAACUUUUACAGCAUCACACACCACAAACGAAUCAGGUAUUACUUAGUUGAAUGAAUUUAAUAAUUUUUACUGUUUAUUCCGUUAUAAAACUUUCAACCUAUAAAUAUUAUGAAUUCCAUCUUUGUUAUGUGUAGGUUUUAUUUAAAUAAACAGAAUGUAUCUGUAUGUAAUCUUUGGUUAUAUUUUUUAGUGUAAUUGUUUGUUUAUAUAUAUAUAUAUAUAUAUAUAAACAUAUUGUUAGCUGUAGCAUUACGAAAUAAAUUAUCAUUACAUUUAAUUCUUUCAAAAAGCAAUCGAUAUUAUUUCGCAAAUAUAACAGAAGAGACUCUUCAACCAGAGUGAGACAGAGAGACAGUCGAUAGUGGGGUGAUCAAUUAUAAAAAAAACUAUUGUUACGUGUCUAUCUCAUACCUAAUCCGCUGUUUUGCUAAUAAUUUAUAUAAUAUUUUUGAUUACCCCUAAUUGUCAUGUAUUUUAGAAAAGCUUGUAACCUAUAUUACACAUAUAGCAAUAUAUAUGAUGUGGUGAACUUUGAUCAUAAAUAUAUUAAUAAA